GCCAGAAGACGAGGGCACAACGCGUGUCGUCGAUGCUGCUUCUGGGCUCCAGGGUCUCGAUUCCCGUGUUAUGGCACUACUGGGUUGGGACACAGUGACAGGUGCUUCCGGGGGUGCCAACCUUACAUAAGAUUGGACGCUCAUCCCAGAAGUGAUCUGUCCCCAGCCUGCAGAGGACAUCCAGAGUCAGGACAAUCCUCGAAUCAUGGACACCGCGGGACCAAGCAGCUCCACCUCUCCUCCUAACCCAGUAGCGACCAACGUCACUAGGCCGCAAACUUCGACAGGGGAGCCUCGAGUGCAGCGGCCACGUCAAGAACGUCGCCGCAGACGCAGAAGGGUCCCCCUUCCUGUAGCUGAACGCAGAGUCAGCGUGCAGGAACGGCUGACUAAUGAGGUGGCGCAGCUAAGAGAGUUGCUUACGCCCCUCAUUGGCCCAAUGACCGAGUACGUCACGUUGUUGCUAAGCAGAGAAAGAGGCACGCAAGCAUGAGGAUUUCGGAAGGGAGUCAUUAACCA